AGAGUUUGAUCCUGGCUCAGAACGAACGCUGGCGGCGUGCCUAACACAUGCAAGUCGAGCGAGAAAGCCCGCAAGGGUGAGUAAAGCGGCGCACGGGUGCGUAACACGUGGGUAAUCUGCCCUAGAGUCCGGAAUAACUCGCCGAAAGGCGUGCUAAUGCCGGAUGAGACCACGGGAGCUUCGGCUCCUGCGGGAAAAGGUGGCCUCUGUACACAAGCUAUCGCUCUAGGAUGAGCCCGCGGCCCAUCAGCUCGUUGGCGGGGUAAUGGCCCACCAAGGCAACGACGGGUAGCUGGUCUGAGAGGACGAUCAGCCACACUGGAACUGAGACACGGUCCAGACUCCUACGGGAGGCAGCAGUGGGGAAUCUUGCGCAAUGGGCGAAAGCCUGACGCAGCAACGCCGCGUGUGUGAUGAAGGUCUUCGGAUCGUAAAGCACUGUCGCGAGGGACGAAUAAGGGACGGGCGA
rnacentral:rRNA from 1 species